UCUCAGCGCCAGGCCUUUCAGGAGACCCGCGGUUACAUCCAGGCCCGGCUCCACCUGCAGCAUGAGAAUCGGCAGCAGGAGCGGCUGCUGCUGUCGGUAUUGCCCCAGCACGUUGCCAUGGAGAUGAAAGAAGACAUCAACACAAAAAAAGAAGACAUGAUGUUCCACAAGAUCUACAUACAGAAGCAUGACAAUGUCAGCAUCCUGUUUGCAGACAUUGAGGGCUUCACCAGCCUGGCAUCCCAGUGCACCGCGCAGGAGCUGGUCAUGACCCUGAAUGAGCUCUUUGCCCGGUUUGACAAGCUGGCUGCGGUGAGGGUGCUGGGCCUUGGGAUUGGGCCUGGGUGUUGACCGUGGUGAGAGCAUAGCUUUGCUGGCAGCAGCUGGGGAUUUGAGGGCAGAUAGAUUGUGCAUGGAGGGUGGUGGGCCAUGCAGGCUGGGUGGGCAAGAGAGUAAAGGUUACCCUUCCCUCCAACUCCUUCCCAUUCAGGAGAAUCACUGCCUGAGGAUCAAGAUCUUGGGGGACUGUUACUACUGUGUGUCAGGGCUGCCGGAGGCCCGGGCCGACCAUGCCCACUGCUGUGUGGAGAUGGGGGUAGACAUGAUCGAGGCCAUCUCGCUGGUACGUGAGGUGACAGGUGUGAAUGUGAACAUGCGCGUGGGCAUCCACAGCGGGCGCGUGCACUGCGGCGUCCUUGGCUUGCGGAAAUGGCAGUUCGAUGUGUGGUCCAAUGAUGUGACCCUGGCCAACCACAUGGAGGCAGGAGGCCGGGCUGGGUGAGUAGGGGGGUCCAGGUGGGGGGGAUGGGGGCAAGGUGGGAGAGCCAGGGUCUCACCCUCUUGGCCACAUACAGCCGCAUCCACAUCACUCGGGCAACACUGCAGUACCUGAACGGGGACUACGAGGUGGA
rnacentral:sRNA from 1 species